rnacentral:rRNA from 1 species
AGAGUUUGAUCAUGGCUCAGAAUCAACGCUGGCGGCGUGCCUAACACAUGCAAGUCGAACGAGAAAGUGGAGCAAUCCAUGAGUAAAGUGGCGACCGGGUGAGUAACACGUGACUAACCUACCCUUGAGUGGGGGAUAACCUCGGGAAACCGGGGCUAAUACCGCGUAAUAUCGCGAGAUCAAAGGAGUAAUUCGCUCAGGGAGGGGGUCGCGGCUGAUUAGUUAGUUGGUGAGGUAACGGCCCACCAAGACGAAGAUCAGUAGCCGGCCUGAGAGGGCGCACGGCCACACUGGAACUGAAACACGGUCCAGACUCCUACGGGAGGCAGCAGUGGGGAAUUUUGCGCAAUGGGGGAAACCCUGACGCAGCAACGCCGCGUGGAGGAUGAAGUCCCUUGGGAUGUAAACUCCUUUCGAUCGGGAAGAUUAUGACGGUACCGGAAGAAGAAGCACCGGCUAACUCUGUGCCAGCAGCCGCGGUAAUACAGAGGGUGCAAGCGUUGUUCGGAAUUAUUGGGCGUAAAGGGCGCGUAGGCGGUGCGGUAAGUCUGCAGUGAAAUCUCUGGGCUCAACUCAGAGUCUGCUGUGGAAACUGCCGUGCUUGAGUAUGGGAGAGGUGAGUGGAAUUCCCGGUGUAGCGGUGAAACGCGUAGAUAUCGGGAGGAACACCUGUGGCGAAAGCGGCUCACUGGACCAUAACUGACGCUGAUGCGCGAAAGCUAGGGGAGCAAACAGGAUUAGAUACCCUAGUAGUCC